rnacentral:rRNA from 1 species
CACCAGACUCCUACGGGAGGCAGCAGUGGGGAAUAUUGCACAAUGGGGGAAACCCUGAUGCAGCGACGCCGCGUGAGCGAUGAAGUAUUUCGGUAUGUAAAGCCCUAUCAGCAGGGAAGAAGAUGACGGUACCUGACUAAGAAGCCCCGGCUAACUACGUGCCAGCAGCCGCGGUAAUACGUAGGGGGCAAGCGUUAUCCGGAUUUACUGGGUGUAAAGGGGGCGCAGACGGCGAUGCAAGCCAGGAGUGAAAGCCCGGGGCCCAACCCCGGGACUGCUCUUGGAACUGCGUGGCUGGAGUGCAGGAGGGGCAGGCGGAAUUCCUGGUGUAGCGGUGAAAUGCGUAGAUAUCAGGAGGAACACCGGCGGCGAAGGCGGCCUGCUGGACUGCAACUGACGUUGAGGCCCGAAAGCGUGGGGAGCAAACAGGAUUAGAUACCCCGGUAC